AGAGCCUAUAAACUUCUUAGAAAAACGAUCAAGGAGUUUAGAAUGAGACAUUGGAAACUUCUGACUCGAGUAGGUGAUUAUGUUGCUUUGAUAUAGAUCGGACAAAAUUAGGUUAUAUGUUUCAAGUAAAGGUGCACUUGACAUGUAACUCUGUGCCAGCAGCCGCGGUAAGACAGAGGAUGCAAGCGUUAUCUGGAAUGAUUGGGCGUAAAGCGUCUGUAGGUGGCUUUUUAAGUUCGUCGUCAAAUCCCAGGGCUCAACCCUGGACAGGCGGUGGAAACUACCAAGCUGGAUAGGAAAUAUUUUCCAUAUUUGCAUAUUAACAUUGUUGUCUUCACUAUUAUGUAGCC